rnacentral:rRNA from 1 species
ACGAACGCUGGCGGCGUGCCUAACACAUGCAAGUCGGACGCAGAAGGAGCGAUCCUUUUGAGUGGCGCACGGGUGAGUAACACAUGAGAACGUACGAUGUAGACGUGAAUAACUGUUGGAAACGAUAGCUAAUACACGAUAAGCAGGAGACUGGAAAGGGGGGGACCGCAAGGCCUUCUACUAUAUCAUCGGCUCAUGUCCCAUUAGCUAGUUGGUAGGGUAAAAGCCAACCAAGGCGAAGAUGGGUAGCUGAUCUGAGAGGAUGAUCAGCCACACGGGGACUGAGACACGGCCCCGACUCCUACGGGAGGCAGCAGUGGGGAAUAUUGCGCAAUGGGGGCAACCCUGACGCAGCAACGCCGCGUGAGUGAAGAAGGCCUUCGGGUUGUAAAGCUCUUUCGGCUGGGACAAGGGCUUGGUUACCUAAUAAGUGACUGAGUUGAUGGUACCAGAAGAAGAAGCACCGGCAAACUUCGUGCCAGCAGCCGCGGUAAUACGAAGGGUGCAAGCGUUGUUCGGAAUUAUUGGGCGUAAAGGGUUCGUAGGCGGACCUUUAAGUCACAUGUGAAAGACUAGGGCUUAACCUUAGAGUGUCAUGUGAAACUGAAGGUCUUGAGUAUAGGAGAGGGUUUUGGAAUUGCUGGUGUAGGAGUGACAUCCGUAGAGAUCAGCAGGAACGCCUGAGGCGAAAGCAGGAACCUGGCCUAUUACUGACGUUGAGGAACGAAAGCGUGGGGAGCAAACAGGAUUAGAUACCCUGGUAGUCCACGCUGUAAACGAUGAUGACUCGGUGUAGGAGGAGUUGACCCCUUCUGUACCCUAGCUCACGCGUUAAGUCAUCCGCCUGGGGAGUACGGCCGCAAGGCUAAAACUCAAAGGAAUUGACGGGGGCCCGCACAAGAGGUGGAGUAUGUGGUUUAAUUCGACGCAACGCGAAGAACCUUACCUGGGCUCGAACGGCUGGUUAACGGCGGUGGAAACAUCGCUACUCCGCAAGGAGGUCCAGUCGAGGUGCUGCAUGGCUGUCGUCAGCUCGUGUCGUGAGAUGUUGGGUUAAGUCCCGCAACGAGCGCAACCCUUGUCCUGUGUUGCCAUACCGCAAGGUGGAACUCGCAGGAGACCGCCAGCGAUAAGCUGGAGGAAGGUGGGGAUGACGUCAAGUCCUCAUGGCCUUUAUGUCCAGGGCUACACACGUGCUACAAUGGCCGGUACAAUGCGCUGCUAAGUCGCGAGACGGAGCCAAUCGCAAAAAACCGGUCUCAGUUCGGAUUGCAGGCUGCAACUCGACUCCAUGAAGUUGGAAUCGCUAGUAAUCCCGGAUCAGCACGCCGGGGUGAAUACGUUCCCGGGCCUUGUACACACCGCCCGUCACACCAUGGGAGUCAGUUGCUCCAGAAAUCGGUGCGCCAACCGCAAGGAGGCAGCCGCUCAAGGAGUGACUGGUAACUGGGGUG